UACGAAGGGGGCUAGCGUUGCUCGGAAUCACUGGGCGUAAAGCGCACGUAGGCGGAUUCUUAAGUCAGGGGUGAAAUCCCGGAGCUCAACUCCGGAACUGCCUUUGAUACUGAGGAUCUCGAGUUCGGGAGAGGUGAGUGGAACUGCGAGUGUAGAGGUGGAAAUUCGUAGAUAUUAGGAAAGAACACCAGUGGCGAAGGCGGCUCACUGGUCCGGUACUGGACGCUGAGGUGC
rnacentral:rRNA from 1 species